rnacentral:rRNA from 1 species
AUGGAGAAGCUCUCCAUAUUCAAAGGCGACAUCGUGCUGCUCAAGGGCAAGCGCCGCCACAACACGGUCUGCACGGCACUGCCCGACGACACCUGCGAGGGGCACAAGCUCAGGAUCAAUAAGGUCACCUGCUCCAACCUGCGCGUGCGCAUUGCCGACGUUGUGUCGGUGCACCUGUGCCACGACGCCAAGUAUGGCCGACGCGUGCACAUCCUCCUCAUUGACAACACCGUCGAGGGCAUCGCGGGGAACCUCUUCGACGCCUACCUCAAGCCCUAUUUCCUGGACGCCUACCGCCCGCUCCACAAGGGCGACCUCUUCCUCGUGCAUGGCGGCAUGCAGAGCAUGGAGUUCAAGGUCAUGGAGAUCGACCCCGCAACGGACUACUGCAUCAUGGCGGCCGACACAGAGAUCUUCUGCGCCGGUGAGACGGUCAAGCGGGAGGACAAGGAGAGGCUCGACGAUGUCGGCUAUGACGACGUGGGUGGCGUGGGGAAACCGCUGGCUCUCAUCAGGGAGCUCGCCGAGCUGCCACUCAGGGUCUCAGGCAUCCGCAGAUCUUCAAGUCUAUUGGCGUCAAGCCUCCCAAAGGCAUCCUCCUGUACGGCUCUCCCGGGUCCGGCAAGACGUUGA